rnacentral:misc_RNA from 1 species
GUCGCCAAGUGCCACGGAGCAUUCUGGUGUAUUCUCUUCGGGUUCCUGUGUUGCCUACCUUUCGAACGGUAUUUGACCGGCAUGAAAUAUUUGUUCCAUCCAGAUCUCUUUACGGGGAUGGUGGUGGACUUUAAUGCAACGCCUGUGUUCCACAUCGGCUUUUCAUCGAGAAGCUUUUGCGGUAUGCACGGAGCUGUUGUUGUUCUUUCGGAUGCGGUGCAUGCAAUGAUCGUGGGUUUAACUGUCCCGUUCGGUUUCUAAAUUUCCGGUUGCCUUAGAAUGACGUGUGUCCUGGUGCCUGUGAUGUUUUCCUUUCGGGGGGACAACACCCGCACCCUGAGCACGGUCAUCAACGGGUGCUA